rnacentral:rRNA from 1 species
AGUAAAGCCAUACGAUUUCAGUUACGUAUUGUAUCAGGUAGUAACGAGGGUUUGAUCAUGGCUCAGAUUGAACGCUGGCGGGAUGCUUUACACAUGCACAAGUCGAACGGCAGCACGGACAUCGGUCUGGUGGCGAGUGGCGAACGGGUGAGUAAUGUAUCGGAACGUACUGGUAGCGGGGAUAACUGCCAUAAAGAAAGCGUAAGCUAAUGCCCUGCACUUAUAGAGAAAGCAGAGGACAGCCACAGACAUUCGCACUCAAUGGAAACGGCCGAUAUCGGAUUAGCUAGUUGGUGGGGUAACGGCUCACCAAGGCGACGAUCCGUAGCUGGUUGAGAGGACGACCAAACCCACCUGGGACUGGAAUACGGCCCAGACUCCUGCAGGACCUGUAGUGGGAAUUUUGGACAAUGGGGAAACCCUGAUCCAGCCAUCCCGCGUGUGCGAUGAAGGCCUUCGGGUUGUAAAGCACUUUUGGCGGGGAAAGAAACGGCACGGGAUAAUACCCGAUGCAACUGACGGUACCUGCAGAAUAAGCACCGGCUAACUACGUGCCAGCAGCCGCGGGUAAUACGCCGUGGGGGUGCACCAGCAUUAAUCGAUUACUGGGCGUAAAGCGUGCGCAGGCGGUUCCGGAAAGAAAGAUGUGAAAUCCCAGAGCUUAACUUUUGGAACCAUUUUUAACUACCGAGCUAGAGUGUGUCAGAGGAGGUGGAAUUCCGCGUGUAGCAGUGAAAUGCGUAGAUAUGCGGAGGAACUGCGAUAAGCGGCAACCCUCUAAGGAUCAACUUCCGCUACGACACUCAUGCACAACGUGGGGAGCAAACAGGAUUAGAUGUCCUGGUAAGUCCACGCCUAAACGAUGUCCUUCGCUGUUGGGGCCUUUAGGGCCUUGGUGGCAUGGCUAACGCGUGAAGUUGACCGCCUGGGAGAUACGGUCGCGAGAUUAAAACUCGAAAAGGAUGACGGGGACCCGCACAAGCGGUGGAUGAUGUGGAUUAAUUCGAUGCAACGCGAAAAAUAUGCCUACCCUUGACAUGUCUGGAAUCCCGAAGAGAUUUGGGAGUGCUCGCAAGAGAACCGGAACACAGGUGCUGCAUGGCUGUCGUCAGCUCGUGUCGUGAGAUGUUGGGUUAAGUCCCGCAACGAGCGCAACCCUUGUCAUUAGUUGCUACGAAAGGAGCACUCUAAUGAGACUGCCGGUGACAAACCGGAGGAAGGUGGGGAUGACGUCAGUCCUCUGGCCCUGUCGGUGGAGGCUUCACGUCAUCACAAUGCAGUCAGGGACAGAGGGUCGUAACCCGCGAGAAGGCCAAUCCCAGAAACCCGAUCGUAGUCCGGAUCGCAGUCUGCAACUCGACUGCGUGGUCAGGAAUAUUCGUAUCAGGAUCAUGUCGCGGUGAAUACGUUCCCGGGUCUUGUACACACCGCCCGUCACACCAUGGAAGUGGUUUUGCAAGUAGUUAGCCUAACCGUAAGGGCGAUUACCUGGUAGGAUUCAUGUGGGGGUGAAGUCAUGCGCUCGAAU